CCUACGGGGGGCAGCAGCGGGGAAUAUUGGACAAUGGGCGAAAGCCUGAUCCAGCCAUGCCGCGUGUGUGAAGAAGGCCUUCGGGUUGUAAAGCACUUUCAGUGGGGAAGAAAGCCUUGGGGCUAAUACCCUCGAGGAAGGACAUCACCCACAGAAGAAGCACCGGCUAACUCCGUGCCAGCAGCCGCGGUAAUACGGAGGGUGCGAGCGUUAAUCGGAAUUACUGGGCGUAAAGCGCGCGUAGGCGGUCUGAUAAGCCGGUUGUGAAAGCCCCGGGCUCAACCUGGGAACGGCAUCCGGAACUGUCAGGCUAGAGUGCAGGAGAGGAAGGUAGAAUUCCCGGUGUAGCGGUGAAAUGCGUAGAGAUCGGGAGGAAUACCAGUGGCGAAGGCGGCCUUCUGGACUGACACUGACGCUGAGGUGCGAAAGCGUGGGUAGCAAACAGGAUUAGAUACCCCUGUAGUC
rnacentral:rRNA from 1 species